CAAGAGUAAGACUAAUACCUUAACAUAAAGAACCAACAGUCAAUUCGAACUUUCAGAUGAGGCACCAUUUCUCACCUUUGGAGAAGGACUUUUGGAUCUUCAAGUCAAGCCCAUCACCUCUAUAAAUUGUUCAAACUCCAUGGAUUUUCAAACACACAGAGCAAGUAUUGCUCUCAGUCUUCUGCCUGAGAGAACUUCAAAGAUACCUUCUCUGUUUGUCAUCUGUUUUCUUGGUUUGUCAGCUAUGUUCACAUGGGUUUAUGAUAUAUUCCAUCUCUUGCACACUGGAGCAGCUUUCUGUCCCUGGGCUGGUGUGCAAGAGAUGGAAUGCAUCAUUAAUGCGUGCCUUUCUUGCCAGUGAAGUGUGGAGUGUUAUCAUCCACUGUUGUUAUGCAUGAAAGCUGAGGUUCCCAUGUCUCCAGGUCAAUGAUCCUUGCUUCUUCCUACAGGAGAGGCUCUACUUCAGAGGGUAGAUCAUAAACUCCCCAUGAUUUUCGAUUGUGGGGUGGCAAAGGAAUCAAAUUUCAUUGUUGAAAUGGGAUAUUUGUGUAAGAAAAAUUGGUGUAAGCUCUUGGGAAGAUCAUGGUUCUUGUAUCUCGAAAAAAGAAAUUCUCUUUGACAAAUUUGAGUCUUUUCAGGAUUUGAUUCCUCAUUAUA